AUUGGGACAUAUAAAAAAAGACAACUCUGUUCCACAGAGUAGCUGUUGACAUUAUAGUUGCACAGGAACUUUGUUGACUCUAGAGAACCUCGGGCAAAUCGCACAUCCCCAUGGUGGCUACUUUGCAUGCGGAUGUCAUCCAUAUCAACUUCCGAUGCCAGUUUCUGCGCCUACCAUGGUGACCACGGGUAACGGGGAAUCAGGGUUCCAUUCCGUACAGGGACCCUGAAAAACGGCUACCACAUGCAAGGAAGGCAGCAGGCG